AUUGAACGCUGGCGGCAGGCCUAACACAUGCAAGUCGAGCGGCAGCGGACAGUAGCUUGCUACUUUGCCGGCGAGCGGCGGACGGGUGAGUAAUGUCUGGGAAACUGCCCGAUGGAGGGGGAUAACUACUGGAAACGGUGGCUAAUACCGCAUAACGUCUUCGGACCAAAGUGGGGGACCUUCGGGCCUCACACCCUCGGAUGUGCCCGGAUGGGAUUAGCUAGUAGGUGGGGUAAUGGCUCACCUAGGCGACGAUCCCUAGCUGGUCUGAGGGGAUGACCAGCCACACAGGGACUGAGACGCGACACAGACUCCUGCGGGAGGCAGCAGUGGGGAAUAUUGCACAAUGGGCGAAAGCCUGAUGCAGCCAUGCGGCGUGUGGGAAGAAGGCCUUAGGGUUGUAGAGCUCUUUCAGUAGGGAGGAAGGCGACACAUUUAAUACAUGUGUUGAUUGACGUUACCUACAGAAGAAGCACCGGCUAACUCCGUGCCAGCAGCCGCCGUAAUAC
rnacentral:rRNA from 1 species